UACGAGGGGGGCGAGCGUUGUUCGGAUUCAUUGGGCGUAAAGGGUGCGUAGGCGGCGCGGUAAGUCGGGUGUGAAAUCUCGGAGCUUAACUCCGAAACUGCAUUCGAUACUGCCGUGCUUGAGGACUGGAGAGGAGACUGGAAUUUACGGUGUAGCGGUGAAAUGCGUAGAUAUCGUAAGGAAGACCAGUGGCGAAGGCGGGUCUCUGGACAGUUCCUGACGCUGAGGCACGAAGGUCAGGGGAGCAAACGGG
rnacentral:rRNA from 1 species